rnacentral:rRNA from 1 species
UACGUAGGGCGCAAGCGUUGUCCGGAAUUAUUGGGCGUAAAGAGCUCGUAGGUGGCGUGUCGCGUCUGCCGUGAAAGCCCAUGGCUUAACUGUGGGUCUGCGGUGGAUACGGGCAGGCUGGAGGCUGGUAGGGGCAAGUGGAAUUCCUGGUGUAGCGGUGAAAUGCGCAGAUAUCAGGAGGAACACCGGUGGCGAAGGCGGCUUGCUGGGCCAGUUCUGACGCUGAGGAGCGAAAGCGUGGGGAGCGAACAGG